rnacentral:rRNA from 1 species
AACGAACGCUGGCGGCAGGCUUAACACAUGCAAGUCGAGCGCCCCGCAAGGGGAGCGGCAGACGGGUGAGUAACGCGUGGGAAUCUACCCAUCUCUACGGAAUAACGCAUGGAAACGUGUGCUAAUACCGUAUACGUCCUUCGGGAGAAAGAUUUAUCGGAGAUGGAUGAGCCCGCGUUGGAUUAGCUAGUUGGUGGGGUAAAGGCCUACCAAGGCGACGAUCCAUAGCUGGUCUGAGAGGAUGAUCAGCCACACUGGGACUGAGACACGGCCCAGACUCCUACGGGAGGUAGCAGUGGGGGAUAUUGGACAAUGGGCGCAAGCCUGAUCCAGCCAUGCCGCGUGAGUGAUGAAGGCCCUAGGGUUGUAAAGCUCUUUCACCGGUGAAGAUAAUGACGGUAACCGGAGAAGAAGCCCCGGCUAACUUCGUGCCAGCCGCCGCAGUAACAC